rnacentral:rRNA from 1 species
UACGAGAGGCCCAAACGUUAUUCGGAAUUACUGGGCUUAAAGAGUUCGUAGGCGGCAUGAAAAGUAGGGUGUGAAAGCCCUCGGCUCAACCGAGGAAUUGCGCUCUAAACUGUCGUGCUAGAGGAAGCUAGAGGUGAGCGGAACUGAUGGUGGAGCGGUGAAAUGCGUUGAUAUCAUCAGGAACACCGGAGGCGAAGGCGGCUAUCUGGACGGUUUCUGACGCUAAGACGCGAAAGCGUGGGGAGCAAACAGG